rnacentral:rRNA from 1 species
GGAGGAAAAGAAACCAACUGGGAUUACCUUAGUAACGGCGAGUGAAGCGGUAAAAGCUCAAAUUUGAAAUCUGGUACUUUCAGUGCCCGAGUUGUAAUUUGUAGAAUUUGUCUUUGAUUAGGUCCUUGUCUAUGUUCCUUGGAACAGGACGUCAUAGAGGGUGAGAAUCCCGUUUGGCGAGGAUACCUUUUCUCUGUAAGACUUUUUCGAAGAGUCGAGUUGUUUGGGAAUGCAGCUCAAAGUGGGUGGUAAAUUCCAUCUAAAGCUAAAUAUUGGCGAGAGACCGAUAGCGAACAAGUACAGUGAUGGAAAGAUGAAAAGAACUUUGAAAAGAGAGUGAAAAAGUACGUGAAAUUGUUGAAAGGGAAGGGCAUUUGAUCAGACAUGGUGUUUUUUGCAUGCACUCGCCUCUCGUGGGCUUGGGCCUCUCAAAAAUUUCACUGGGCCAACAUCAAUUCUGGCAGCAGGAUAAAUCAUUAAGAAUGUAGCUACUUCGGUAGUGUUAUAGCUUUUUGGAAUACUGUUAGCCGGGAUUGAGGACUGCGCUUCGGCAAGGAUGUUGGCAUAAUGGUUAAAUGCCGCCCGUCUUGACCACCGGAACCA